GACGAACGCUGGCGGCGUGCUUAACACAUGCAAGUCGAACGGAAAGGCCCUGCUUUUGUGGGGUGCUCGAGUGGCGAACGGGUGAGUAACACGUGAGUAACCUGCCCUUGACUUUGGGAUAACUUCAGGAAACUGGGGCUAAUACCGGAUAGGAGCUCCUGCUGCAUGGUGGGGGUUGGAAAGUUUCGGCGUUUGGGGAUGGGCUCGUGGCUUAUCAGCUUGUGGGUGGGGUAGUGGCUUACCAAGGCUUUGACGGGUAGCCGGCCUGAGAGGGUGACCGGCAACAUUGGGACUGAGGUACGGCGGAGACUACUACGGGAGGCAGCAGUGGGGAAUAAUGCACAAUGGGCGGAAGCCUGAUGAAGCAACGCCGCGUGGGGGAUGAAGGCCGUCGGGUUGUAAACCGCUUUCGCCUGUGACGAAGAGUGAGUGACGGUAAUGGGUAAAGAAGCACCGGCUAACUACGUG
rnacentral:rRNA from 1 species